GCAUUACGGCCUAAAGUAACAAGGCCAAUAAAACACAUUUAGUGUUGAACACAAGUAAACACUUCUAAAGCUACACACACUUGUUCAGGAUAUCAGGUUUCAAGGACACAAAUAUUUACAGGACUUCACCAAGGAGUCAGAAAGUCUUCUCUGAGUUGUGAUCUGGUGAAACUGUCUUGACUCACCUCCAUCUGUGGGGGUUUGGUUUGUGAGCUGAAGCAGCCAACAGCGCUGGCGUUGUUUUGACUGAUGCUCCUGGUCGGAGGCUUCGCCAAGGCAUUUAUGUUGGUGAACAGACUUGGAACCUCAUCCUCCAGCUGGAAGUUUCCGAUGUAAGCGGCUAAAGAGUCGACCAGACCUUGACGUUUUCUCAUCAUCUGUCUGCUGCUCUCCUUUGCACUGCUGAGGUUUCUGUUGAAAUUAAAGCCCAAGAUAUGAAUAAAUGUCUAAUGAUGAAACAGUCUUAUUUAAAAGAUGACAAUCCAACACAUGGAUUCCAAUUCCAGGAAUAUACAACAAUAGAAACAUAAAUAUGUCAAUAUUUACCUAAAUACCCUUCAGUAUUUGACAGUUUUAUGUUAUUGGAUUGAUGUGAAUCAUUUGCCACCAAAUGUGCCUUGCAGAGCAGGCACAUUGCUAGACCACACUGGGUGUUUGAACAGGACUACAAUAGGGGACAUGGCUCAUUUCAGAGCAGCCACGGAGCCAACCAUAGAGUGGGAACCUGGUGUGUGUGUGCACGCAGUAACAGGUGGAAGCAGAGCGGCUUUACCCUGGCUGAAGCUAGCGGUAAAACCUGAAUAUUGACUCAGAAUGGGCCAAUUGUAGGUUACAGCUAAUCACUUAUUCAUCCAGCAAGACAUGAGGUGAAGUUUUACUUAUGAGCAUCAUCAUAGAGUCAUCAUGACAGAGAGCAGAGGGACUUUCACUUGAGCUACAGUUAAAGUCAAAUGGCCUGGCCAUGAGAGCAAACAGUAGAAACCCUCUCA